CGGGAUUGCCUCAGUAACGGCGAGUGAAGCGGCAAAAGCUCAAAUUUGAAAUCUGCGUAAGCCGAGUUGUAAUUUGAAGAUGGCUACUUUGGUAAUGGCUCUUGUCUAUGUUCCUUGGAACAGGACGUCACAGAGGGUGAGAAUCCCGUGCGAUGAGAUGUCCAUUACCGUGUAAAGUGCUUUCGAAGAGUCGAGUUGUUUGGGAAUGCAGCUCUAAGUGGGUGGUAAAUUCCAUCUAAAGCUAAAUAUUGGCGAGAGACCGAUAGCGAACAAGUACAGUGAUGGAAAGAUGAAAAGAACUUUGAAAAGAGAGUGAAAAAGUACGUGAAAUUGUUGAAAGGGAAGGGCUUGAGAUCAGACUUGGUAUUUUGUAUGGCUUGCUUUCGGGCGGGUCCUCUGCAGUUUACUGGGCCAGCAUCGGUUUGGGUGGCAGGAUAAUAGCAUAGGAAUGUGGCUCUACUUCGGUGGAGUGUUAUAGCCUUUGUUGAUACUGCCUGCCUAGACCGAGGACUGCGUCUUUUGACUAGGAUGCUGGCAUAAUGAUCCUAAGCCGCCCGUCUUGAAACACGGACCAAGGAGUCUAACGUCUAUGCGAGUGUUUGGGUGUAAAACCCGUACGCGGAAUGAAAGUGAACGUAGAUGAGAGCCUUUUAGGCGCAUCAUCGACCGAUCCUGAUGUCUUCGGAUGGAUUUGAGUAAGAGCAU
rnacentral:rRNA from 1 species